AACGAACGCUGGCGGCAGGCUUAACACAUGCAAGUCGAGCGCCCCGCAAGGGGAGCGGCAGACGGGUGAGUAACGCGUGGGAAUCUACCCAUCUCUACGGAAUAACGCAUGGAAACGUGUGCUAAUACCGUAUACGUCCUUCGGGAGAAAGAUUUAUCGGAGAUGGAUGAGCCCGCGUUGGAUUAGCUAGUUGGUGGGGUAAAGGCCUACCAAGGCGACGAUCCAUAGCUGGUCGGAGAGGAUGAUCAGCCACACUGGGACUGAGACACGGCGCAGACGCCUACGGGAGGCAGCAGUGGGGAAUAUUUGACAAUGGGCGCAAGCCUGAUCCAGCCAUGCCGCGUGAGUGAUGAAGGCCCUAGGGUUGUAAAGCUCUUUCACCGGUGAAGAUAAUGACGGUAACCGGAGAAGAAGCCCCGGCUAACUUCGUGCCAGCCGCCGCAGUAAUAC
rnacentral:rRNA from 1 species